ensembl:rRNA 5S_rRNA 5S ribosomal RNA
CUAAGCAGCCAUAUCACCCUGCAGCCCAAGACUGGUUGCCCACUGAAGCUAAGCAGGGUUGAGCCUGGUCAGUACCGGGAUGGGAGACCUCCUGGGAAAACUGGGUUGCUGCUGGAA